AUACAUGCAGUCGAGCGGACGGAUGGGAGCUUGCUCCCUGAAGUCAGCGGCGGACGGGUGAGUAACACGUGGGCAACCUGCCUGUAAGACUGGGAUAACUUCGGGAAACCGGAGCUAAUACCGGAUAAUGCACAGCCUCUCAUGAGGCUAUGCUGAAAGAUGGUUUCGGCUAUCACUUACAGAUGGGCCCGCGGCGCAUUAGCUAGUUGGUGAGGUAACGGCUCACCAAGGCAACGAUGCGUAGCCGACCUGAGAGGGUGAUCGGCCACACUGGGACUGAGACACGGCCCAGACUCCUACGGGAGGCAGCAGUAGGGAAUCUUCCGCAAUGGACGAAAGUCUGACGGAGCAACGCCGCGUGAGUGAUGAAGGUUUUCGGAUCGUAAAACUCUGUUGUCAGGGAAGAACAAGUGCCGGAGUAACUGCCGGCACCUUGACGGUACCUGACCAGAAAGCCACGGCUAACUACGUGCCAGCAGCCGCGGUAAUACGUAGGUGGCAAGCGUUGUCCGGAAUUAUUGGGCGUAAAGCGCGCGCAGGCGGUCUCUUAAGUCUGAUGUGAAAGCCCACGGCUCAACCGUGGAGGGUCAUUGGAAACUGGGGGACUUGAGUGCAGAAGAGGAAAGUGGAAUUCCACGUGUAGCGGUGAAAUGCGUAGAGAUGUGGAGGAACACCAGUGGCGAAGGCGACUUUCUGGUCUGUAACUGACGCUGAGGCGCGAAAGCGUGGGGAG
rnacentral:rRNA from 1 species